GAAUCCCGUCUUCGACACGGACUGCCUGUACAUUAUGGUGUGCUCUCGAAGAGUCGAGUUGUUUGGGAAUGCAGCUCAAAAUGGGUGGUAAAUGCCAUCUAAAGCUAAAUAUUGGCGAGAGACCGAUAGCGAACAAGUACCGUGAGGGAAAGAUGAAAAGAACUUUGGAAAGAGAGUUAAACAGUACGUGAAAUUGCUGAAAGGGAAACGCUUGAAGUCAGUCGCGUUGGCUAGAAAUCAACCUUGCUUUUGCUUUGUGUACUUUCUGGUUGACGGGUCAGCAUCAAUUUUGACCACUGGAUAAAGUCUUUGGGAAUGUGGCAUCUUCGGAUGUGUUAUAGCCCAUUGUCGCAUACGGUGGUUGGGAUUGAGGAACUCAGCACGCCGCAAGGCCGGGUUUCGACCACGUUCGUGCUUAGGAUGCUGGCAUAAUGGCUUUAAUCGACCCGUCUUGAAACACGGACCAAGGAGUCUAACAUGCCUGCGAGUGUUUGGGUGGAAAAACCCAUGCGCGCAAUGAAAGUGAAAGUUGAGAUCCUCUUCAAAGGGGGAGCAUUGACGCCCGGACCAGACCUUUUGUGACGGAUCCGCGGUAGAGCAUGCAUGUUGGGACCCGAAAGAUGGUGAACUAUGCCUGAAUAGGGUGAAGCCAGAGGAAACUCUGGUGGAGGCUCGUAGCGAUUCUGACGUGCAAAUCGAUCGUCAAAUUUGGGUAUAGGGGCGAAAGACUAAUCGAACCAUCUAGUAGCUGGUUCCUGCC
rnacentral:rRNA from 1 species